rnacentral:rRNA from 1 species
CCUACGUGUGGCAGCAGUGAGGAAUAUUGGUCAAUGGACGAGAGUCUGAACCAGCCAAGUAGCGUGAAGGAUGACUGCCCUAUGGGUUGUAAACUUCUUUUAUAUGGGAAUAAAACAGGGUAUGCAUACCCUCCUGUAUGUACCAUAUGAAUAAGGAUCGGCUAACUCCGUUCCAGCAGCCGCGGUAAUACGGAGGAUCCGAGCGUUAUCCGGAUGUAUUGGGUUUAAAGGGAGCGUAGGUGGAUUGUUAAGUCAGUUGUGAAAGUUUGCGGCUCAACCGUAAAAUUGCAGUUGAAACUGGCAGUCUUGAGUACAGUAGAGGUGGGCGGAAUGCGUGGUGUAGCGGUGAAAUGCUUAGAUAUCACGAAGAACUCCGAUUGCGAAGGCAGCUCACUGGACUGCAACUGACACUGAUGCUCGAAAGUGUGGGUAUCAAACAGGAUUAGAUACCCGAGUAGUC